UACAGAGGGGGCAAGCGUUGUUCGGAAUUACUGGGCGUAAAGGGCGCGUAGGCGGCCUGCUAAGUCGAACGUGAAAUCCCCGGGCUCAACCCGGGAACUGCGUCCGAUACUGGCAGGCUUGAAUCCGGGAGAGGGAUGUGGAAUUCCAGGUGUAGCGGUGAAAUGCGUAGAUAUCCGGAGGAAUACCAGUGGCGCAAGCGGCGCUCUGGGUCGAGCCUGACACUGAGACGCGAAGGCAUGGGGAGCGAACGGG
rnacentral:rRNA from 1 species